CAAAUUUUAUUGUAUGAUGGGUUUAGCUUGCUGCAGUGGGCAGAUUCUGUAGACCAGCCUAUUAGAGGGGCACAGAAUCCGACUAUAUAUGUACCUCGGUCAGAGAGACGUGUAGGGUAUCUCUUGAGGUAUGGUUAGAGGUCACGUCACGCCGAACCACCUCGUAAUGAUGAACUCCACUAACGCCAAGGAACGACUGUAUUUUCAAAAUAAAAAUAUGCUUUAUGCGUACAUUACUUUUUAACAGCCUUGGUGGAUUCGGUUGGGAUAGCUCCAGGCCAAGGUAUCCUUGACAACAGAGUAUGAGAAUGAUUUUGGCACAAGCCAAGUUUUCAAGAAAGUCAUAAGCCAUGUUGUUUAUUUUUGACAAAAAUGUAAUGGUUUUAUAUGAGUUGAAAUAAGUUUUAAUAUUAUGAAUUAUAUUUCUCUGCAUGGUGAAAAAGAAAUUAAACGGUUUUUCGCAGUUCCCUUAUAUGUUUAUCUAUGAAAUAAAUCUGUAAUUCCUCACAUAUGGGGCGAGUUAUGAUUUGGGCAUGAUUUUAAAUAUUAUUUGGUUUCGCGGGAGCUUGCUAAAUUUUAUUGAUUUGAUUUGAAAAUGAUUAUUAAUAUAUUUUGAUGUGAAAAAAUUUUAUUACCUCGAUUAUUUAUACUUUAUAAGAAAUUCUCAAUUUUUAUAUAAGGCACAAAUCUCCGUUUGAAACGAAUUGUUUUUAUAAUCUAUAAUUUUAUAUUAAACUGAUCUGUCAUUUACUUGUUUCCCAUCUACGUCCUACUCGCUGAGUUGAUGAUUAUCACGGAGUCGAUGAGACUCACACCCCUUUAUUUCCCCUUUUGCAGAUAGGGAUCAACCUAGCAUGUAGUUAGUGACGCACUCGGUCCACCGUGAAUAGGUAAAGGCAUCUCCUAGCAUUUUAUUUCGAGUCACUCUGCUGUUAGAGGUCAAGUCGUAGCAUUUUAUUUAUUAAGUUGUAAACAAAUUCUAAAUUUUUAUAUAAGCAUUAAUUUGGAGAUUAUAGAUUUUAAUACAUAUACUUACGAAUAAAAAGGAAAAAGUUUGUAUUGAUUUUUA
rnacentral:lncRNA from 1 species